CUGCUUGAACGCCUGACAAUAUCUGGGUCAAGUGCGACAAGUUUCUAGUCCUCCGGAUGAGUUAUGAGUUCUGAUCAAGUCUCUGAUCACCCCUGGUUCUAAUUAAUUAAAGAAAAUGCAGUCUGAAGCCGCCAAAAUAGCUGACAGUUUACGUAUAUGUUCCAAGUUUUGAAUAGAGUAGCUUGGUAAAUGGAGUUGUAAAACCUUAAAUUCAGCCAAACCACAUUUUGCUUACUGUUGAUAAUCUGUGAGGCAGCUGUUUUCAGCCAAGUCCUGAUCAUGGAUCUAUGACACAAUAUUGGCCAACAUAUGUGUUUUGAUUAGACUGGAUUGUUAUCAUUCCUUGUCAAAGAAAUGCAUUAGAAAACAGGAGGUUGG